GAAAUAUUCCCUCUGUUCGGAAAUACUUGUCUUAGAAAUGAUUGUAUCUAGAACUAAAACAAAUCUAGAUACAAUUAUUUCUAGGACAAGUAUUUCUAAACGGAGGGAGUAGUAU
rnacentral:pre_miRNA from 1 species